UCAUGGGUCAAAAACGCGACGCGCGGAGCGGCCUUUCCCCUCACCGGGGUCGAGCCGCCGCGAGGGAACGGAUCGUAGUCGCUGCGCCUGCUCAGAAGGUAGCGCAGCGGGGAAAGGCGGGAGAGCGUUAACUUCUGAGCCUGCGCGGUGGGAGUUGCUCAAGCAGGUGGUAGCGACUUGGCUUCCGGGCAGCGGGGAAAGAUGUCUGAGACUUGCCGGUAAAAUGAUCUGGCUACAAGAUCUAAGAGGGAAAAGCAGUUUGCUCGAGGAGAGGUAUUCGUGCAUUAAGAACAGUCCUGUGUGUGAGAUCUUGGUGGACAGCUUCAAGUUCUAGACCUGUGGCCUGUGGUCUACAGCCGGCCUAAAUAAGACUUCGAAGAACUGUGAAGACGGUUUCAAGUUCCUAAAGCCCUGAAAUUCUCCCCCAAGUUUAGGAAGAGCUUUUGUUCUUGGUGUGUAACACUGAUAAAUGAAUUGGUACCUAGUGAUUAAUCUGCACUUUUAUUGAGAUAUGACAUACUUGACCUUUUUUGAGACAGGAUCCUGCUCUGUGGCCCAAUAGCCCAGGAUGGAGUGCAGUGGCAGAGUUGCAGCUCGCUGCAGCCUCCACCUCCCUGGCUCAAGCGAUCUUCCAGCCUCAGCCUCCCCAGUAACUGAGACUAUACAGGUGCAGGCCACCACUCUUAAUUUUUUUUUGUUUGUUUGAUUUUAAGAGACAGGUAGGCCAAGCUGGUUUCGAAGUCCUAGGUUCCUCCCACCUUGGACUCCCAGAGUGCUGGGGUUACAGGCUUGACCCACUGCGCCCAGCCUGCAUCUUUACAUUCGAAAUAAAAUUCAGUCAAGUUAAAGCCAGUCUUGGAGGAAAAUGUGGCUUCUAUGACAGCAGUAGGGGUUUUCCUUCAGUGUCUACUUACCAGAGGAUAAUAAUAACAGCAAGUUUCUUGAACAUAAAAACAUCAGAAAUGAAAAAGAACUUUCCAUAACACUAUAAAUAUUGCAUUAUUUCAGGAUACUGAACCAGAGCCCUAAAGAAAGGCUGGAGACCCAGAAUUUUAUGACUUUGGAACAUUAAUUUUAUUUUAACCAAAGGACAAAAUUAAUCUGCAAAGACUGUCUUGGAGAAAUUUCAGGAAAUAAAAGAUGAAAUGUUAUUGCUGUCCUCCUUUCCCUCUCCGAGAGAAUAAAAGGCAAAUGCAAACUAUCACAGGGAAAUUUUCACCUGUACCUAAAUUAUUUAUUAUAUACUUUAUAUUUCUGGUUAAUAAAUUGGGAAAGAGCACUCCAGAUAAAGAAGUUCCUUUAUAAAUGCCACAUUUAUUUCAGUACUGGAGGUUCGGUCUUGUGUUGCCACAGAUUUGGAAUGGCAUCUGUGUUAUAAAUUUAGAUGACAGACUAAUAAAAGACUUGUAGAUGAAACACAUGCUUCUAAUAUUCUGGUCCAGAAAAUAAGAUAGAAACUAAAGAAUAAUAAAUAACUUUUAUGAAUUAACUGAAGGACUUAAAAUACUAGUUCCAUUCUAAUAAGUGCCUGCCAAGGAACUGAAAUUGAAAAUGAUCAAAGACAUGAUACAGUCAUGUUACAGGGAAUUCAAUGAAGUAAAAAUGGCAGACAUUGAUGAAUGCUAUGGUUUAAAGAUUUGUGUAGAGGUAGUGAUGAGGAGGCCUGCUGGGAGCCGCAAAAGUUCUAUACCUUGACACAGUUAUGUUUACAUGGAUAUGCACACACAGUAGUCACCGAGCCAUGAUUUGUACUUAUGAUUUGCACACCUUGGUGGUUGUAAAUUGUACAUCAAUCUAAAAACAAAUGAGGUCAGGGUGCCUCACUACAGGAGCUUCAAAAGGGAGAGACAGAACAUCUUUUUUUUUUUUUUUUUUUUAAGCCAUCUAAUAGAGUUGCUUGAAAUAAAUCCUAAUAGAUACAAUGUUUCUAGAAACAAGUAAAUGAAUAAACCUUAGCUGUUACCCUCUAGGAGCCAAGAGAGGUCAAUCUGUUCUCAAGCUUUUACAAAGUAACAAGAACAAGUAAUCAGUGCAUAUUGUGUUGAAACUCCUACUGCAAUACUGAAAACUGCACAUGGAGAGUAGCUCCUUUUUGGUAAUUCACAACGGAGCUAGUUUUCAAAUUACCAAGAAUAUAAGGAAUUAGAUUAGAAGCCAAAUUUAAUUUAGAAUUAUGAGACAUUAUUUGUAAUCCACAGUAUUAUUUUUCACAUGAUACUUAACAAUUCACCCAGUAUGAACUUAAAAGGAAGAAGAAAACACACAUUGCAGCCUUCUUGCUUUAAGAGCGAAAAAGAAACAAUUUUGGUAACUGGAGGGACUAGAAUACAAUGUCACUUUAAGAAAGUUUUGACCCAUCAGAUUGAGAGACAGAGAGACAGAAGGAGAAGGAUAAAUCAAAUGUGGUAAAAUGUUAACCUCUGGGGGAUCUGGGUGGAGGGGAUCUGGGAAUUCUUUGUACUAUUGCAACUUUUCUGUAACUCUGAAAUUGCGUUGUCAAAAGAAAAACAGUUUAUAAAUACUUUAUGACCCAUUUGCUUUAUAAUUAGGAAAACAGAGUAUGAUGACAGAGAGAGCCUACUGUAGGCCUGAUACUUAACAGAAGGAAAGUAGUUUACAUGUAAACUCUGGGAAAAGUGGAGCCAAAUGAUUACACUGUGUAUUGCACAUGAGGGGACAGAGAAGAGUGUGCUUCAAUAUGAAGCUGGGGCUAUUUUACAAACACACCUUCCUAAAUGUUCUUAGUCUCUAUCCUGGAAAAGUCACCUUCUCAGCAUCAUGGAUCAGAAAUACAUAAAAGCCUUAGUGCUUGUGGAAAACAGCCUUCUUCGUUGGAGGGCAGUCUCAACUAACUUCACACUCUGAUUCCUAAAAAAAAAUGGGAAGGUGGGUGUGUACACAUCCUUUAUGUUAUAAAUUUCUUACUGGAAAGAUGGCCUAAAUAUUAGACUUUCCCGAAAGAGUAUUCAGUCUCAUAAAAAUCUCUAAUGGAAUAGCACUUAAGAAUUUCAACUGUGUGUCCACUAAAAAUGGUGUAGAUCCAUUACCUCUCACACAGGCACUCUCCACGAGAGAUUAAGUGAUAAAAACCAAGCUGCAGAAGAUUAUAUUACCUGGAGAGAUACCAAAUUGUUCAGUUGUGACCUCUGGGAAACAGAUGGUGGGAGAGGUUUUGAAGGGGACACUCACCUUAAUUUGGGGGCAUUGUUAAAAAAUUUUUGUAACUUAUAUAGUCUUUUUAAAAUAAAGAACUUAGCCACAAAAUCAAAACAGCUGAUUGAUAUGAAGCACCACUAUCUCCAUUAUUGAAAGGUUGCUUCAAGAAUGCUGAAUAGUUUCAAGUUACAUUUUACAAAAAAUGAAAGGGCACAGGAUGUUGUCUACCUGUUUUAAUUAUGGAAGGAUAAUUGUCCAUUUUUAAAUGGUAAGAUAGUUAUAAAGAAUAAUGUUUUCCAAAGCAAUACCAAAGAGAUACUUUUCCCUUUUAGAAUAGAAAUUAUGGUACCAUGCAGCUUAUUUCCCCAUAUUGAUCAUGUGAACAUUUGUUUUAAGGAGUAAAAGGGUUUGUCAGACUUGGUGUCCAUGGCAUGCCAGAGAUACAGAUUGAACUAUCUCUUGGCAUUUCCAUAAAUAUACAAAAAUUAGCAGGGCAUGGUGGCACACACCUGUAGCCCCAGCUACUCGGGAGGCUGAGGCAGAAGAAUCGCUUGAACCGGGGAGGCAGAGGUUGUGGUGAGCUGAGAUUGCACCACUGCACUCCAGCCUGGGUGACAGAGCAAGACUCUGUCUCAAAAAAAAAAAAAA